rnacentral:rRNA from 1 species
AGCGAACAGAUAAGGAGCUUGCUCCUUUGACGUUAGCGGCGGACGGGUGAGUAACACGUGGGUAACCUACCUAUAAGACUGGGAUAACUUCGGGAAACCGGAGCUAAUACCGGAUAACAUUUGGAACCGCAUGGUUCUAAAGUGAAAGAUGGUUUUGCUAUCACUUAUAGAUGGACCCGCGCCGUAUUAGCUAGUUGGUAAGGUAACGGCUUACCAAGGCGACGAUACGUAGCCGACCUGAGAGGGUGAUCGGCCACACUGGAACUGAGACACGGUCCAGACUCCUACGGGAGGCAGCAGUAGGGAAUCUUCCGCAAUGGGCGAAAGCCUGACGGAGCAACGCCGCGUGAGUGAUGAAGGGUUUCGGCUCGUAAAACUCUGUUAUUAGGGAAGAACAAAUGUGUAAGUAACUGUGCACGUCUUGACGGUACCUAAUCAGAAAGCCACGGCUAACUACGUGCCAGCAGCCGCGGUAAUACGUAGGUGGCAAGCGUUAUCCGGAAUUAUUGGGCGUAAAGCGCGCGUAGGCGGUUUCUUAAGUCUGAUGUGAAAGCCCACGGCUCAACCGUGGAGGGUCAUUGGAAACUGGGAAACUUGAGUGCAGAAGAGGAAAGUGGAAUUCCAUGUGUAGCGGUGAAAUGCGCAGAGAUAUGGAGGAACACCAGUGGCGAAGGCGACUUUCUGGUCUGUAACUGACGCUGAUGUGCGAAAGCGUGGGGAUCAAACAGGAUUAGAUACCCUGGUAGUCCACGCCGUAAACGAUGAGUGCUAAGUGUUAGGGGGUUUCCGCCCCUUAGUGCUGCAGCUAAC